rnacentral:rRNA from 1 species
GGAGUUAGCCGGUGCUUCUUCUGUGAGUGAUGUCCUUCCUGCCGGUUAUUGACCCGCAGGCCUUCUUCCUCACUGAAAGUGCUUUACAACCCGAAGGCCUUCUUCACACACGCGGCAUGGCUGGAUCAGGGUUGCCCCCAUUGUCCAAUAUUCCCCACUGCUGCCUCCCGUAGGAGUCUGGGCCGUGUCUCAGUCCCAGUGUGGCUGAUCAUCCUCUCAGACCAGCUACGGAUCGUCGCCUUGGUGAGCCGUUACCUCACCAACCAGCUAAUCCGACAUAGGCUCAUCCGAUAGCGCGAGGCCCGAAGGUCCCCCGCUUUCCCCCGUAGGGCGUAUGCGGUAUUAGCCUGGGUUUCCCCCAGGUUAUCCCCCACUACCGGGCAGAUUCCUAUGCAUUACUCACCCGUCCGCCGCUCGCCACCAGGGAGCAAGCUCCCCGUGCUGCCGCUCGACUUGCAUGUGUAGCUCGCCGCCACGCGUCAUCUGAGCAUGAUACAAACUACUGA